AUCAAUAAGCGGAGGAAAAGAAACUAACAAGGAUUCCCCUAGUAACGGCGAGUGAAGAGGGAAGAGCCCAAGAUUGAAAGCUGGCGCCUUCGGCGUCCGCAUUGUAAUCUCAAGAAGUGUUUUCCGCUUCGGACCAUGCCUAAGUCCCUUGGAAAAGGGCAUCAUAGAGGGUGAUAAUCCCGUACAUGGCAUGGAGCGCCCGAAGCUUUGUGAUACGCUUUCUAAGAGUCGAGUUGUUUGGGAAUGCAGCUCAAAAUGGGUGGUAAAUGCCAUCUAAGGCUAAAUAUUGGGGAGAGACCGAUAGCGAACAAGUACAGUGAUGGAAAGAUGAAAAGAACUUUGAAAAGAGAGUUAAACAGUACGUGAAAUUGCCAAAAGGGAAGGGUAGGAGGUCAGAGAUGCGUCGCAGGAUUCAGCCUUGCUUUUGCUUGGUGUUUUUCCUGCGUUGCAGGCCAACGUCGGUUUUGGGCACUGGAGAAGGGUAGGAGGAACGUGGCACCUCUCGGGGUGUGUUAUAACCUCCUACUGGAUACAGCGACCGAGACCGAGGAACGCAGCGUACUCGUAAGAGCGGGCCUUUUCGCACUUUUACGCUUAUGGCGUUGGCAUAAUGGGCCACUACCACCCCA
rnacentral:rRNA from 1 species